rfam:Otolemur garnettii contig024087, whole genome shotgun sequence.
GUUUGCUUCUGUUGUGCAUAUAUGAAAAUUGGAAUGAUACAGAGAAAAUUAGCGUGGCCCCUGUGUAAGGAUGACUUGCAGAUUUGUGAGAUCUUCUGUAUUACU